rnacentral:rRNA from 1 species
ACGGGAGGCAGCAGUGGGGAAUAUUGGGCAAUGGGCGAAAGCCUGACCCAGCAACGCCGCGUGAAGGAUGAAGGUCUUCGGAUUGUAAACUUCUUUGAUCAGGGACGAAUUUUGACGGUACCUGAAGAACAAGUCGCGGCUAACUACGUGCCAGCAGCCGCGGUAAUACGUAGGUGACAAGCGUUAUCCGGAUUUACUGGGUGUAAAGGGCGUGUAGGCGGUUUUGCAAGUCAGAUGUGAAAUUCCCGGGCUUAGCUUGGGCGCUGCAUCUGAAACUGCAGAACUUGAGUACUGGAGGGGAUAGCGGAAUUCCUAGUGUAGCGGUAAAAUGCGCAGAUAUUAGGAGGAACACCGGUGGCGAAGGCGGCUUGCUGGACGAUAACUGACGCUGAGGCUCGAAAGCGUGGGGAGCAAACAGGAUUAGAUACCCUGGUA